rnacentral:lncRNA from 1 species
GGCUGGGAGGCGCAGGCGACGGCGGGGGCACACCCGGCGCGGGGCUGGGCGGCUCCGGCGAAGGCGGCGGAGUACCAGGCGCAGGGCUGGGAGGGGCAGGCGACGGCGGGGGCACACCCGGCGCGGGGCUGGGCGGCUCCGGCGAAGGCGGCGGCGUGCCAGGCGCAGGGCUGGGAGGCGCAGGGCGACGGCGGGGGCACACCCGGCGCGGGGCUGGGCGGCUCCGGCGAAGGCGGCGGCGUGCCAGGCGCAGGGCUGGGAGGCGCAGGCGACGGCGGGGGCACACCCGGCGCGGGGCUGGGCGGCUCCGGCGAAGGUGGCGGCGUGCCAGGCGCAGGGCUGGGAGGCGCAGGCGACGGCGGGGGCACACCCGGACCGGGGCUGGGCGGCUCCGGCGAAGGCGGCGGCGUGCCAGGCGCAGGGCUGGGAGGCGCAGGCGACGGCGGGGGCACACCCGGCGCGGGGCUGGGCGGCUCCGGCGAAGGCGGCGGCGUGCCAGGCGCAGGGCUGGGAGGUGCAGGCGACGGCGGGGGCACACCCGGCGCGGGGCUGGGCGGCUCCGGCGAAGGCGGUGGCGUGCCAGGCGCAGGGCUGGGAGGCGCAGGCGACGGCGGGGGCACACCCGGCGCGGGGCUAGGCGGCUCUGGCGAAGGCGGCGCAGGGCUGGGAGGCGCAGGGCUGGGAGGCGCAGGCGACGGCGGGGGCACACCCGGUGCGGGGCUGGGCGGCUCCGGCGAAGGCGGCGGAGUACCAGGCGCAGGGCUGGGAGGCGCAGGCGACGGCGGGGGCACGCCCGGACCGGGGCUGGGCGGCUCCGGCGAAGGUGGCGGCGCACCAGGCGCGGGGCUGGGAGGCGCAGGCGACGGCGGGGGCACGCCCGGCGCGGGGCUGGGCGGCUCCGGCGAAGGAGGCGGCGUGCCAGGCGCAGGGCUGGGAGGCGCAGGCGACGGCGGGGGCACACCCGGUCCGGGGCUGGGCGGCUCCGGCGAAGGCGGCGGCGUGCCAGGCGCAGGGCUGGGAGGCGCAGGCGACGGCGGGGGCACACCCGGCGCGGGGCUGGGCGGCUCCGGCGAAGGCGGCGGCGUGCCAGGCGCAGGGCUGGGAGGCGCAGGCGACGGCGGGGGCACACCCGGCGCGGGGCUGGGCGGCUCCGGCGAAGGCGGCGGCGUGCCAGGCGCAGGGCUGGGAGGCGCAGGCGACGGCGGGGGCACACCCGGCGCGGGGCUGGGCGGCUCCGGCGAAGGCGGUGGCGUGCCAGGCGCAGGGCUGGGAGGCGCAGGCGACGGCGGGGGCACACCCGGCGCGGGGCUAGGCGGCUCUGGCGAAGGCGGCGGCGUACCAGGCGCAGGGCUGGGAGGCGCAGGCGACGGCGGGGGCACACCCGGACCGGGGCUGGGCGGCUCCGGCGAAGGUGGCGGCGUGCCAGGCGCGGGGCUGGGAGGCGCAGGCGACGGCGGGGGCACACCCGGCGCGGGGCUGGGCGGCUCCGGCGAAGGCGGCGCAGGGCUGGGAGGCGCAGGGCUGGGAGGCGCAGGCGACGGCGGGGGCACACCCGGCGCAGGGCUGGGCGGCUCCGGCGAAGGCGGUGGCGUGCCAGGCGCAGGGCUGGGAGGCGCAGGCGACGGCGGGGGCACACCCGGCGCGGGGCUAGGCGGCUCUGGCGAAGGCGGCGCAGGGCUGGGAGGCGCAGGGCUGGGAGGCGCAGGCGACGGCGGGGGCACACCAGGUCCGGGGCUGGGCGGCUCCGGCGAAGGCGGCGGCGUGCCAGGCGCAGGGCUGGGAGGCGCAGGCGACGGAGGGGGCACACCCGGCGCGGGGCUGGGCGGCUCCGGCGAAGGCGGCGGCGUGCCAGGCGCAGGGCUGGGAGGCGCAGGCGACGGAGGGGGCACACCCGGCGCGGGGCUGGGCGGCUCCGGCGAAGGCGGCGGCGUGCCAGGCGCAGGGCUGGGAGGCGCAGGCGACGGCGGGGGCACACCCGGACCGGGGCUGGGCGGCUCCGGCGAAGGCGGCGGCGUGCCAGGCGCAGGGCUGGGAGGCGCAGGCGACGGCGGGGGCACACCCGGCGCGGGGCUAGGCGGCUCUGGCGAAGGCGGCGCAGGGCUGGGAGGCGCAGGGCUGGGAGGCGCAGGCGACGGCGGGGGCACACCCGGCGCGGGGCUGGGCGGCUCCGGCGAAGGAGGCGGCGUGCCAGGCGCAGGGCUGGGAGGCGCAGGCGACGGAGGGGGCACACCCGGCGCGGGGCUGGGCGGCUCCGGCGAAGGCGGCGGCGCGCCAGGCGCAGGGCUAGGAGGCGCAGGCGACGGCGGGGGCACACCCGGCGCAGGGCUGGGCGGCUCUGGCGAAGGAGGCGGCGUGCCAGGCGCAGGGCUGGGAGGCGCAGGCGACGGAGGGGGCACACCCGGCGCGGGGCUGGGCGGCUCCGGCGAAGGCGGCGGCGCGCCAGGCGCAGGGCUAGGAGGCGCAGGCGACGGCGGGGGCACACCCGGCGCGGGGCUGGGCGGCUCCGGCGAAGGCGGCGGCGUGCCAGGCGCAGGGCUGGGAGGCGCAGGCGACGGCGGGGGCACACCAGGUCCGGGGCUAGGCGGCUCUGGCGAAGGCGGCGGCGUGCCAGGCGCAGGGCUGGGAGGCGCAGGCGACGGAGGGGGCACACCCGGCGCGGGGCUGGGCGGCUCCGGCGAAGGCGGCGGCGUGCCAGGCGCAGGGCUGGGAGGCGCAGGCGACGGCGGGGGCACACCCGGCGCGGGGCUGGGCGGCUCCGGCGAAGGCGGCGGCGUGCCAGGCGCAGGGCUGGGAGGCGCAGGCGACGGCGGGGGCACACCCGGCGCGGGGCUAGGCGGCUCCGGCGAAGGCGGCGGAGUACCAGGCGCAGGGCUGGGAGGCGCAGGCGACGGCGGGGGCACACCAGGUCCGGGGCUGGGCGGCUCCGGCGAAGGAGGCGGCGUGCCAGGCGCAGGGCUGGGAGGCGCAGGCGACGGAGGGGGCACACCCGGCGCGGGGCUGGGCGGCUCCGGCGAAGGCGGCGGCGCGCCAGGCGCAGGGCUAGGAGGCGCAGGCGACGGCGGGGGCACACCCGGCGCAGGGCUGGGCGGCUCCGGCGAAGGAGGCGGCGUGCCAGGCGCAGGGCUGGGAGGCGCAGGCGACGGCGGGGGCACACCCGGCGCGGGGCUAGGCGGCUCUGGCGAAGGCGGCGCAGGGCUGGGAGGCGCAGGGCUGGGAGGCGCAGGCGACGGCGGGGGCACACCCGGCGCGGGGCUGGGCGGCUCCGGCGAAGGCGGCGGCGUGCCAGGCGCAGGGCUGGGAGGCGCAGGCGACGGCGGGGGCACACCCGGCGCAGGGCUGGGCGGCUCCGGCGAAGGCGGCGGCGUGCCAGGCGCAGGGCUGGGAGGCGCAGGCGACGGAGGGGGCACACCCGGCGCGGGGCUAGGCGGCUCCGGCGAAGGCGGCGGCGUGCCAGGCGCAGGGCUGGGAGGCGCAGGCGACGGCGGGGGCACACCCGGCGCGGGGCUGGGCGGCUCCGGCGAAGGCGGCGGCGUGCCAGGCGCAGGGCUGGGAGGCGCAGGCGACGGCGGGGGCACACCCGGCGCGGGGCUGGGCGGCUCCGGCGAAGGUGGCGGAGUACCAGGCGCAGGGCUGGGAGGCGCAGGCGACGGCGGGGGCACACCCGGCGCAGGGCUGGGCGGCUCCGGCGAAGGCGGCGGCGUGCCAGGCGCAGGGCUAGGAGGCGCAGGCGACGGAGGGGGCACACCCGGCGCGGGGCUAGGCGGCUCCGGCGAAGGUGGCGGCGUACCAGGCGCAGGGCUGGGAGGCGCAGGCGACGGCGGGGGCACACCCGGCGCGGGGCUGGGCGGCUGCGGCGAAGGUGGCGGCGUACCAGGCGCAGGGCUGGGAGGCGCAGGCGACGGCGGGGGCACACCCGGCGCGGGGCUAGGCGGCUCCGGCGAAGGCGGCGGAGUACCAGGCGCAG